rnacentral:siRNA from 1 species
GCUUUUAGGUGUGAGUUAGGCU